rnacentral:rRNA from 1 species
GAUGAACGCUGGCGGCGUGCCUAAUACAUGCCAGUAGAACGCUGAAGGAGGAGCUUGCUUCUCCGGAUGAGUUGCGAACGGGUGAGUAACGCGUAGGUAACCUGCCUGGUAGCGGGGGAUAACUAUUGGAAACGAUAGCUAAUACCGCAUAACAGUAGAUAUCGCAUGAUAUCUGCUUGAAAGGUGCAAUUGCAUCACUACCAGAUGGACCUGCGUUGUAUUAGCUAGUUGGUGAGGUAACGGCUCACCAAGGCGACGAUACAUAGCCGACCUGAGAGGGUGAUCGGCCACACUGGGACUGAGACACGGCCCAGACUCCUACGGGAGGCAGCAGUAGGGAAUCUUCGGCAAUGGACGGAAGUCUGACCGAGCAACGCCGCGUGAGUGAAGAAGGUUUUCGGAUCGUAAAGCUCUGUUGUAAGAGAAGAACGAGUGUGAGAGUGGAAAGUUCACACUGUGACGGUAUCUUACCAGAAAGGGACGGCUAACUACGUG